GAUGAACGCUAGCGGCGGGCCUAACACAUGCAAGUCGAACGGUAACAUGAGUAGCAAUACUUGAUGACGAGUGGCGCACGGGUGCGUAACGCGUAUGCAACUUACCUCUAACUGGAGAAUAGCCUUCCGAAAGGAAGAAUAAUACUCCAUAAUAUUACGAUGUGGCAUCACAUUGUUCUUAAAGCUUCGGCGGUUAGAGAUGGGCAUGCGUCUGAUUAGCUUGUUGGUGAGGUAACGGCUCACCAAGGCAACGAUCAGUAGGGGGCCUGAGAGGGUUAUCCCCACACUGGUACUGAGACACGGACCAGACUCCUACGGGAGGCAGCAGUGGGGAAUAUUGGACAAUGGGGGCAACCCUGAUCCAGCCAUGCCGCGUGUGUGAAGAAGGCCU
rnacentral:rRNA from 1 species